rnacentral:tRNA from 1 species
AGCUAAUGAGCUUGAUAUAAGCAUGUGUUUUGAAAACACAAGAUAGAGAUUAAAUUCUCUAUUAGCUU